rnacentral:rRNA from 1 species
UACGUAGGGUGCGAGCGUUCAUCGGAAUUACUGGGCGUCAAGCGUGCGCCGGCGGUUUUGUAAGACAGAUGUGAAAUCCCCGGGCUUAACCUGGGAAUGGCAUUUGUGACUGUUCGGCUAGAGUGUGUCAGAGGGGGGUAGAAUUCCACGUGUAGCAGUGAAAUGCGUAGAGAUGUGGAGGAAUACCGAUGGCGAAGGCAGCCCCCUGGGAUAACACUGACGCUCAUGCACGAAAGCGUGGGGAGCAAACAGG